UUCAGCAUAUGCAAUAUCGACUCUUAGUUUUUGAAUAAAUUCUACUUCUAUUGCACAAACAUAUUUCACACACUUUAGGAGGACUUAGGGUUGUAACGGGGCUUAGGACAGGUGGGAUAAACAACAAACGGAUACACAAGGGUUUUUGGGCUCGGCACUCAUGCUAUUUUUCUUGUACCUGUGAUUAUUUUGAUAUAAAGGGGUUCGACAUCGACUAUUUAACUUUACUCAACAGAUUGAGUAUUGCAAAUGUACUCAAGUCGUUUAGUGGGGACAAGUGCAUUUUUAUCAGUUCUAUUUUUCUUUUCUCUUCUUUUUGUUUCAGAGCAUUCAAAAAGCCUCCAAUUUAUUUUUCUUUUUCUCUUUUCUUGUAACAAUUUUUCUCACGCUUGUCCCUUUUUGUAUUAGAUUCACCACCCCAAACUUAGAAUUCAACACAGUUUCAAAAUCCACAACAUUCAUGCCGAGCAAGGGUAAAAGAGAUUAUUA
rnacentral:lncRNA from 1 species